GAUGAACGCUGGCGGCGUGCCUAACACAUGCAAGUCGAACGAAGCACAUACGACGGAACUCUUCGGAGGGAAGAUGUAUGUGACUGAGUGGCGGACGGGUGAGUAACGCGUGGGUAACCUGCCCUAUACAGGGGGACAACAGUUGGAAACGACUGCUAAUACCGCAUAAGCGCACAGUACCGCAUGGUACAGAGCGAAAAACUCCGGUGGUAUAGGAUGGGCCCGCGUCUGAUUAGUUAGUUGGCGGUGUAACGGACCACCAAGACGACGAUCAGUAGCCGGCUUGAGAGAGUGAACGGCCACAUUGGGACUGAGACACGGCCCAAACUCCUACGGGAGGCAGCAGUGGGGAAUAUUGCACAAUGGGGGAAACCCUGAUGCAGCAACGCCGCGUGAGUGAAGAAGUAUUUCGGUAUGUAAAGCUCUGUCAGCAGGGAAGAUAAUGACGGUACCUGACCAAGAAGCCCCGGCUAACUACGUGCCAGCAGCCG
rnacentral:rRNA from 1 species